rnacentral:rRNA from 1 species
CCGGCUAACUCCGUGCCAGCAGCCGCGGUAAUACGGAGGGUGCGAGCGUUAAUCGGAAUUACUGGGCGUAAAGCGCAUGCAGGCGGCCUCGUUAAGUCAGAUGUGAAAGACCCGGGGCGUUAACCUCCGGAAUUGCAUUUGAAACUAGGCAGGCUAGAGUCUUGUAGAGGGGGGUAGGAAGUUUCAGGUGUAGCGGUGAAAUAGCGUAGAGAUCUGAAGGAAUACCAGUGGCGAAGGCGGCCCCCUCGGACAAAGACUGACGCUCAGAUGCGAAAGCGUGGGGAGCAAACAGGAUUAGAUACCCUGGUAG